rnacentral:rRNA from 1 species
GGGGUAUCUGCUCCUAGAGAUAGGACGUCCCCUUCGGGGGCAGAGUGACAGGUGGUGCAUGGUUGUCGUCAGCUCGUGUCGUGAGAUGUUGGGUUAAGUCCCGCAACGAGCGCAACCCUUGAUCUUAGUUGCCAGCAUUCAGUUGGGCACUCUAAGGUGACUGCCGGUGACAAACCGGAGGAAGGUGGGGAUGACGUCAAAUCAUCAUGCCCCUUAUGACCUGGGCUACACACGUGCUACAAUGGACAGAACAAAGGGCAGCGAAACCGCGAGGUUAAGCCAAUCCCACAAAUCUGUUCUCAGUUCGGAUCGCAGUCUGCAACUCGACUGCGUGAAGCUGGAAUCGCUAGUAAUCGCGGAUCAGCAUGCCGCGGUGAAUACGUUCCCGGGUCUUGUAACACACCGA